rnacentral:lncRNA from 1 species
UUCAAUCCUUAGGUACCCCCCCCACACACACACACACUCACACAAGAGCAGCUUGUGGAUGCACAGAUGCAGGGGCGGCCGGGCAGGGUGAGCUGGCCCACUGGGCACGAGCCGCCCCUCGGCACUCCGUGGCUUGCGGUUCCCCGAGGCAACGGACCCAGGGCCUCGGCCACCCCGGGCUUGGGGAGUCGGUUUAAAAUACUGUUAAUAACCAUGCUGGAAAAUAAGACAAUUUCCUCUUCCACCAAAGGUGAUCAACCCAAAAAAGACAAUGCCGUAUCACAAGAACUGGUGCUUGUUAGUGCCCCUACAGAAGCGGCUGAAAUUUUUCAUGAAAAUAAAAGGACAAAUACUGAAGAAGUAAAUACAGCCAUUUACUUUAACUACCCAUGUCGAAGGCAGAGCUGUGCUCUAGUAAACAUCCCAGCACCAUGUGUCAACAAAAUUAUUUCACACAUUGAAAAUGUGGAGUCAAAAAUACAGGAUCAUUUGAAACAGUUUGAAACAUGUUUGGAAAAAUGGAGAUCUUCUCCCUCAACUCUGAAAGAAGAUUGGAGUACUGCUACAACAGAGAAAAAAGUCAAACAAGAAGAAAAGAAAGGUGAAAACUAUCAAGAAUUAAAGCAAGAAAUGGAAACCUUGCUGUCAGAGACCAUCCAUCUUAUCAAAAGCCUGGAAACUGACCGAGCAGAAGCUGAACAAGCCUUAAAACAACAAAAAUCAAGAAAGAAAUUGAUUAUCAUGAGAAUUGACUCUUGGUCUAUCUGGAGACUUCAAGAACUACCACUAGCUGUGCAGAAAGAACACCAGGCCUAUUUGAGAGAUAUUAUAGAAUUAAGGUGGCACCUGGAAGACAGAAAGCGUCAGCUGGAACAUCUGGAGAAACAAAAGACACAGCUAGAGGAAGCGAACGCAAAGCUUCAGGCGGAUAUAGACUUCAUGCAGGAUCGCAUAGCUCUGCUGGACUCAAAGCGGAGGCAGGAAGUGGCAAUUCUGCAGGAACUUUACGAAAAAAAAUUUGAGGUAAUGGAGAUAUUCAGACAAAUUCAUGAAGAAUUUGAACAAGUUACAGAAGACUCUGAAAAUGCCACAUGGCAGGUUCAAGAAAAUAAAGAAGAAAUGGAUGAAGAGAUUCGUAAUCACGAAAUAAACCUAGAGACACAGAGGAAAGAGUUAGAUAAACUAAACAAUCUGAGUACUCACUACUCAUCAAAAAUAGGAGAUUUUAAAACGGAUAUAGAGGAGAGUGAAGAGAUAGUGACAGAAGUACUAAGGGAAGAAAGAUCAUCAACAGAUGAAGCAUCUACUUUAUCAAGAACAGUGGAUGAUUUGAGGAAGACUUUUGAUCAACUUUGCUGGAAGUACAGAAAAUACGAACAGCAGUAUACGGAGGUCCUUAAUGAUUUUUAUGCCGCUAAAAGAACAUGGGAUGCUGAACUUUCUAAUGUUACAAAAGACUUGUCAAACAUUUCAAUAGCAUAUGCUCAAGCAAUGGGAGAAAAUAAAAGGCUUGCAAAUGAAAUCAUCACCGUAACAGAUCAAAUCAAUGAAAGUAUAAAAAGAAAAGUGGGGUAUGAAUCUGAAGUUCAAUCUUUACUGAAACUGAAGUCAAAAAACAAUGAUUAUCUCAAACACCUAUACAAGGAGGCUUAUCAAAUUGGUGCUCUUUUCCACGUAACCAAAAAUAAAACAGACGAUAUGGAACUUAAAGUAUCAGAAGUGAGAAGAAAAUUUAAGGUUAGAGAAGAGUUUCUGAAAAGACUCAUUCGAGGGAAAGUGGCUGCUGGGAUAAUAAUUCAGAAAAGACUAUAUUCCGUUCAGGAAACCCAGUCACUGGAGAGGCAGAACCUUAUGAAGAGGAAAGCAAUAUAUGCCCUCACGCUGGCGGAAAUACUGGAGCCUCUCCAGCAACUAGAAGAGGAUGCUGUAAGAAUCCAAGCCAUGCACAAAGAACAGGCUCAGAAUCUCAGUGAUGUACUUCAGAAGGAAAACUAUGUUAAAAGAAAAGUGAUACAAACAAAGAAUAAACUGCAAAGAAAGGAAAAGAAAACUCUUAGUAAACUAACAAAAACUGAGAGUAAACGCUCAUUAAUUUUUGAAGAAUUACAGUCUACUAAAAGCAAAACAGUCACUUUUAAUGCAAAAAUAAAUGAAAUGAACAAACAGUUACAAGAAAAGGAACAGGAAAAGGCAGAGUAUGAUCAGAAACUUGAAAAUUUAAAAAAUAUAUUUUUAACUAUGAGAUUUAAAAAGGAACAAGCACAAGCUGUGUUUGAUCAUCUCACGGAAGAGAAAAGAGCCUGCGAAGAGAGGAUCUCUGAGGAAGAUCAGAUGUUUAGAACACUCCUCGCCAUGAGGCAAAAAACACUGGCCGACCUUAAAGAACUGCAAGACAACUCACUGGAAGAAAAUCUACGUUUAGCUCAAGAGUAUCAAAAGUUGCAGAUGAUUUUCUUAACAGAAAAGGAUAAUUUCUGCAAAAUGUAUGGCAAACAGCUAUCACUUCAUGCUGCAGUUAGUGAUAAGAGACAGUUCUGUCAGCUGCAAAGAAAUCUACAGGAGCAGUGGCAGGAGCACUUCCGGCUGGUGGUCCUCUUCAGCCAGAUGAAGCUGGCCAAGUUCCAGACAGACUCUCAGGAGACUAUUCAGAAAAUAUUAGCUGUGCAGGAAGAAUCUUCAGAUUUAAUGCAACAUAUCUUAGAUUUCUUCCAGACUUUGACAAAUGGCCUACCUGAAAAUGAUGGUUAAGCAAACAACCAAUGUAUCUUGGAUGCUGAAAUAAAAGACAAGAAAAGUCAUACAGUUCAGAUAACAGUGUAAUUGGACAUUCACCUGUUUGCCAUUUCACACUUCCACGGACGAAAAACUCACUCACCUCCCAGCAUGCUUUGCCACUCUUUUACUUCCAGCAAAUCCAUAACAAUGAAACAGGUGACUUUCAUGCUGCUGUCAGGAACGAUCUAAUUUCAGCUCUGGGUGACUGAUUGCAAUUGGCUUUGCCUCAUCUGAUAAUUAAUCUAUGUCACCAUUAAUUGGAAGAGAGAAUAAUUACUGGCGGUGUUGACAGUGACUGUUCACUUCCCCAGAUUUCCCCAUCGUGUUGGCCCAAAUAAAGGCUGUGCAACUCAGUACUUAAAGUUUGUGUAAACUGUAACAAUAUCUAUGCCCAUGUGGCACGGUCAGACACUCUGUCUAAUGUACUUUUGUUUUUCUGUUUACCGAUCUUUUUUAGCUCACUGAGAGCUGUCUCUCUCAAUCACUCUUCAAUGUUCUAUCUUAAUUUUGUGGAAGUUUAAAGUUUUCAAUGAGCUGGAGAUGAAUGAUUAAUGAAUAAAUUUAAAUGCUUCAUUUUGUCCAUGGA